rnacentral:rRNA from 1 species
UUAAUGAGAGUUUGAUCCUGGCUCAGGACGAACGCUGGCGGCGUGCCUAAUACAUGCAAGUAGAACGCUGAGGUUUGGUGUUUACACUAGACUGAUGAGUUGCGAACGGGUGAGUAACGCGUAGGUAACCUGCCUCAUAGCGGGGGAUAACUAUUGGAAACGAUAGCUAAUACCGCAUAAGAGUAAUUAACACAUGUUGGUUAUUUAAAAGGAGCAAUUGCUUCACUGUGAGAUGGACCUGCGUUGUAUUAGCUAGUUGGUGAGGUAAAGGCUCACCAAGGCGACGAUACAUAGCCGACCUGAGAGGGUGAUCGGCCACACUGGGACUGAGACACGGCCCAGACUCCUACGGGAGGCAGCAGUAGGGAAUCUUCGGCAAUGGACGGAAGUCUGACCGAGCAACGCCGCGUGAGUGAAGAAGGUUUUCGGAUCGUAAAGCUCUGUUGUUAGAGAAGAACGUUGGUAGGAGUGGAAAAUCUACCAAGUGACGGUAACUAACCAGAAAGGGACGGCUAACUACGUGCCAGCAGCCGCGGUAAUACGUAGGUCCCGAGCGUUGUCCGGAUUUAUUGGGCGUAAAGCGAGCGCAGGCGGUUCUUUAAGUCUGAAGUUAAAGGCAGUGGCUUAACCAUUGUACGCUUUGGAAACUGGAGGACUUGAGUGCAGAAGGGGAGAGUGGAAUUCCAUGUGUA